rnacentral:tRNA from 1 species
GCGGGUUUAGCUCAGUUGGGAGAGCGUCAGACUGAAGUCCAACUUCAUUCACUAUCGUUUGAUAUCUGAAGGUCGUGUGUUCGAUCCACACAAACCGCA